rnacentral:rRNA from 1 species
GAUGAACGCUGGCGGCGUGCCUAAUACAUGCAAGUCGAGCGAACAGACGAGGAGCUUGCUCCUCUGACGUUAGCGGCGGACGGGUGAGUAACACGUGGAUAACCUACCUAUAAGACUGGGAUAACUUCGGGAAACCGGAGCUAAUACCGGAUAAUAUAUUGAACCGCAUGGUUCAAUAGUGAAAGACGGUUUUGCUGUCACUUAUAGAUGGAUCCGCGCCGCAUUAGCUAGUUGGUAAGGUAACGGCUUACCAAGGCAACGAUGCGUAGCCGACCUGAGAGGGGGUGCGGCCACACGGGAAAUGAGACACGGUCCAGACACCGCAGGGAGGAAGCAGGAGGGAAUCGUCCGAAAGGGGCGAAAGCCGGAAGGAGCAACUCCGCGGGAGUGAAGAAGGUCUUCGGAUCGUAAAACUUUGUUAUUAGGGAAAAACAAAUUUGUAAGUAACAAUGCACGUCUUGAGGGUACCUAAUCAGAAAGCCACGGCUAACUACGU